rnacentral:rRNA from 1 species
AAAUUGAAGAGUUUGAUCAUGGCUCAGAUUGAACGCUGGCGGCAGGCCUAACACAUGCAAGUCGAACGGUAACAGGAAGCAGCUUGCUGCUUCGCUGACGAGUGGCGGACGGGUGAGUAAUGUCUGGGAAGCUGCCUGAUGGAGGGGGAUAACUACUGGAAACGGUGGCUAAUACCGCAUAACGUCGCAAGACCAAAGAGGGGGACCUUCGGGCCUCUUGCCAUCAGAUGUGCCCAGAUGGGAUUAGCUAGUUGGUGAGGUAACGGCUCACCAAGGCGACGAUCCCUAGCUGGUCUGAGAGGAUGACCAGCCACACUGGAACUGAGACACGGUCCAGACUCCUACGGGAGGCAGCAGUGGGGAAUAUUGCACAAUGGGCGCAAGCCUGAUGCAGCCAUGCCGCGUGUAUGAAGAAGGCCUUCGGGUUGUAAAGUACUUUCAGCGGGGAGGAAGGUGUUGUGGUUAAUAACCACAGCAAUUGACGUUACCCGCAGAAGAAGCACCGGCUAACU